rnacentral:rRNA from 1 species
GUGGAUUAGAUACCCUAGUAGUCCACGCUGUAAACGUUGGGCGCUAGGUGUGGGGGGCCUCUCCGGUUCUCUGUGCCGCAGCUAACGCAUUAAGCGCCCCGCCUGGGGAGUACGGCCGCAAGGCUAAAACUCAAAGGAAUUGACGGGGGCCCGCACAAGCGGCGGAGCAUGCGGAUUAAUUCGAUGCAACGCGAAGAACCUUACCUGGGUUUGACAUGGGCGCUAAAGCCGCAGAGAUGCGGUGUCCUUCGGGGGCGUUCACAGGUGGUGCAUGGCUGUCGACAGCU